rnacentral:rRNA from 1 species
AUUGAACGCUGGCGGCAGGCCUAACACAUGCAAGUCGAACGGUAACAGGAAGAAGCUUGCUUCUUUGCUGACGAGUGGCGGACGGGUGAGUAAUGUCUGGGAAACUGCCUGAUGGAGGGGGAUAACUACUGGAAACGGUAGCUAAUACCGCAUAACGUCGCAAGACCAAAGAGGGGGACCUUCGGGCCUCUUGCCAUCGGAUGUACCCAGAUGGGAUUAGCUUGUUGGUGGGGUAACGGCUCACCAAGGCGACGAUCCCUAGCUGGUCUGAGAGGAUGACCAGCCACACUGGAACUGAGACACGGUCCAGACUCCCACGGGAGGCAGCAGUGGGGAAUAUUGCACAAUGGGCGCAAGCCUGAUGCAGCCAUGCCGCGUGUAUGAAGAAGGCCUUCGGGUUGUAAAGUACUUUCAGCGGGGAGGAAGGGAGUAAAGUUAAUACCUUUGCUCAUUGACGUUACCCGCAGAAGAAGCACCGGCUAACUCCGUG